rnacentral:rRNA from 1 species
CCUACGGGGUGCAGCAGUGGGAAUAUUGCACAAUGGGCGCAAGCCUGAUGCAGCCAUGCCGCGUGUAUGAAGAAGGCCUUCGGGAUGUAAAGUACUUUCAGCGGGGAGGAAGGUGUUGUGGUUAAUAACCACAGCAAUUGACGUUACCCGCAGAAGAAGCACCGGCUAACUCCGUGCCAGCAGCCGCGGUAAUACGGAGGGUGCAAGCGUUAAUCGGAAUUACUGGGCGUAAAGCGCACGCAGGCGGUCUGUCAAGUCGGAUGUGAAAUCCCCGGGCUCAACCUGGGAACUGCAUUCGAAACUGGCAGGCUAGAGUCUUGUAGAGGGGGGUAGAAUUCCAGGUGUAGCGGUGAAAUGUGUAGAGACCUGGAGGAAUACCGGUGGCGAAGGCGGCCCCCUGGACAAAGACUGACGCUCAGGUGCGAAAGCGUGGGGAGCAAACCGGAUUAGAUACCCUGGUAGUC